CAUCAGCAAUUUAUAAUUGCGAUUUAAUAAUUUGUUAUUGCUGCCAAACGCGCCUAAAAAUAACAUGACGCAUUCAAGGUGUAGAUAAACUGAUAAGGAUAAUGCAAUCAAUAAUUUCUAACAAAUCAAUUCUUUGUUAUACAUUAAUACUCAGUGAACAGUGAACGUGAAAUAUUUAACUCAAGGGGCCUUUAAAGAAAUGGCGCCACCUCACUCUCUUCCAUGUGGACCGAACUGCAGAAAUGGAUUCUGUGCCCCAUACUGCUAUUAUAGCAGUGUAGCCCCACUACCCCCACAUCUGCAGACGUACCAGCCACCGCCGUACUCACAACCACCAGGUCCACCGCAGCAUUAUCCGCAAUAUCCACCGCAGUACCCGACCUAUCCUCCAACUGAUCUGCCACAGUAUCCACCCACCAAUCCCCCGUACAAUCCACCACACAUUCCUCCGGCAUACCCGUCACCAUAUCCCUCUCACCCUCCAUACUUACCUGAUGACUUCAGGAGGUAAAUUAUCAUUGCCACUAAAUUGGUAAAUUCCGAUUAUUUCUAUCUGCAGCCAACAAAAAUAGAAUUUUGAACAAAA